AGUCAAAAUUGACUGGUCAUUAUUUCAAGUACAUGUAGUUGAUGCACAGCCAGAUUUGCCUCCCUUGAAAGAUUUUUUUUAAUCUGGAAGCCAUAUGGUAUACAUGAUAUCAUUUGUACAAUUUUAUUACCAGUUAAAAUUUAGCCAUUACAUGAAUGUCUUACCAAAAUUUCAAUGCAUAUUAAAGUCCCAUUUUUAUUUAAGACCAACCCCAUUUUCUAGUCGUAAUAUGCAGCUUAAAAAGUAGAAAUAGAAGGCUUAAUAUUUUAGUAAUGAACAAAAAAAAUCACAUUUUUUACAGUGCUUGUAUUUCAUCUUAUGAUGUUUAUUAUAUAUAUAUAUGUUGAUUGGUACAUUUUGUAGUAUGAUUUUUAGCCAAUCAAGUUGAAUGAAAGAGUUCUAUAUCCAAAGAGAAAUUGUAGGUUUGUAAAUGCCCAUUUUGUAAAUUACAUUUAAAAUUUGAUAAUGUACCACAUAAAACUUUUUAUUGGUAUCUCUUACAUAUAAAGCUCAAGAUUAAAAGCUGAACAGAAACAAAAUAUAUAGUCACCACUGAAAAAUCUCCGUCCAAGAUAUUUGGAUCCUAACUAUUUAAAUCUGUAGCAUCUCUACUAGUGUUUUCAACUGUUAAAGAAGAUGUUAGUCUUAAACUUAUCAGAGCAUCUAAAUAUCUAUGCCUGGUAGAUUGUUUUUCCUCUACAAAAGUUAAAGAAAUAAGGAUGAAUCUUGUAUUAAAACAUUGUUUUGAAAAAUGAGUGCAAAGACCACCAUCUUACAGUGUAUAUACUGGAAACUGCCAUGCCUUUUAUUUUAAGCUUAUAUUCUGAAGGGUAAAUGUCAAGCUUAGGUAGAGUAUAGAAAAAUCACCCUACUUGAUUUUAAAUAGUCUUCACCAAUCAAAAGUACAUUUUCUAGUUACAAAGUCUAAAGUAUGCAACAUUCGACAAGAAUCUUCUUUGCGUUGAAUUCAAGCAUUCCCCUAUUAACACUAACAAUGUAUUCUCAAUUUUUACUGAUUCGAAAUGUAGAUAUUAUUGUUAAUCAGUAAUUUUUAUGAUAUGAUUUAUAACAAAAUCUGAAUGUACAUGAACUAACAUAUAUUUUAACGCUGACUGGAUUUAUUUCAAGUUACUAAGCAGAUAUAAUAAAUAAUUGUCAAGAGGGUUAUACAUUGAUAUACAACCCAAGAGCAGACAAUUCAUGUAUUAAUUUCGUUUUUGUAAUUUUCUUUUUUCAACAUUUAAUGCAGUACUCUUUAUCUUGUAUCAUACCAAUUAAGACUUAUUGACUAAUUCUAACAUAUGAUUUGUAGCAUUGGUGUGAUGUUGUAUAUAGACCAACAAUAUCUGUGUGUUAACAUGAUCACAAACAUUGAUUUUUGUCAUUUUAGUAGCAUCUUAUGACAAUAAAUCAUUUUUCUCCUC
rnacentral:sRNA from 1 species